GAUGAACGCUGACAGAAUGCUUAACACAUGCAAGUCUACUUGAACUUCGGUUUGGGUGGCGGACGGGUGAGUAACGCGUAAAGAACUUGCCUCACAGUUAGGGACAACAUUUGGAAACGAAUGCUAAUACCUGAUUUUAUGAUUUUAGGGCAUCCUAAAAUUAUGAAAGCUAUAUGCGCUGUGAGAGAGCUUUGCGUCCCAUUAGCUAGUUGGAGAGGUAACGGCUCACCAAGGCGAUGAUGGGUAGCCGGCCUGAGAGGGUGAACGGCCACAAGGGGACUGAGACACGGCCCUUACUCCUACGGGAGGCAGCAGUGGGGAAUAUUGGACAAUGGACCAAAAGUCUGAUCCAGCAAUUCUGUGUGCACGAUGACGUUUUUCGGAAUGUAAAGUGCUUUCAGUUGGGAAGAAAAAAAUGACGGUACCAACAGAAGAAGUGACGGCUAAAUACGUG
rnacentral:rRNA from 1 species